rnacentral:lncRNA from 1 species
CGGGAACCUAGAGGUGGGUCUUGUUUUCGCUUCUUCUUUCAAACGAGAUGUCUGGGGUCUGGCUCAGCAAGCGGGCACCCCCCAGGGACCGCAGACCAGACCGCAGGCACCGUGCCUUCCUGAGUUGGGACAGUCUGCGGUAUUUCCUUACUGCCUGCAAAAGCCUCCACUGGUCGGGCUCGUGGGCAGGGAAAGUGAGUCACCGCUGUUUGACUGGGCCCUCCACGCAUGGCCGGGCCACCGUCGGCCCCCUGCACUCAGCACGUGUUCAGCUGCCCUGGGGCACACAGGCUCAAGUGGCCAAAAUCCAGAGCAAAGUCCCACAAGACCCAUUGGGUUUCAUCUUUCCUGGGCCCAUUCCCUGCUUUAUUUGCUGUGGUCCAAACCAGUUCCUGGAGUCACCUCUUUCCCUAAGCCACCUUCAAAGACAGUUAAGGGGGCCCCACUCUGUGUUGGGGGCUGGUCCUGGCAUCCAUGGAAUUGUGACCAGGCGCCUCCGUGCGGCAGGCUUGGAGGAGGGGGGACAGUGUAAUUAGCCUGUGUGCGCUGCCGGUGGUCUGUGCUUUCUGAUUCAGAGAGGGAUGGGGACCGUGGGGGUGGGGUGGCACCAUUUCCUUCCCUGUCCUUUCCCUUCUGUGUCACAGCCCUGACACAAGGAUUUCCAACUAAGGGUUGGCCAAACCCGAGGUUUCCAGUUAUUUCGAAGAGUUUUGAAAAAUUCUCCAAAGAAAAUGCGCUUUAGUUGGGGGCAGGGGUACAGGAUGCUGGGGACAGAGGAAAAGGGUUCAGGCGGCACCACCAACGACAAAAAAAAAAAAAAAAAAAAUGUCAAAAGGCUGCCAAGUCAGAGAAGGGGACGGGGACACCCUGGCCCCCAGCCUCACCCGCCCCUCCAGGAGUGGGGGUGGGGGCCCAGGGCCGGAGGGGGCUGUCCUGUCCCCAGUACCUGGCUCAGGCAGGUCCCAGGGCCUCCAGGACGCAGCCUUGGGAGUCACCAACGC